rnacentral:rRNA from 1 species
AGCAGCCGCGGUAAUUCCAGCUCCAAUAGCGUAUAUUAAAGUUGUUGCAGUUAAAAAGCUCGUAGUUGAAUUUCGGGGUUAGUAGGUUGGUCAUGCCUCUGGUAUGUACUGGUCUCACUGAUUCCUCCUUCCUGAUGAGCCGUAAUGCCAUUAAUUUGGUGUUGCGGGGAAUUUGGACUGUUACUUUGAAAAAAUUAGAGUGUUUAAAGCAGGCUAACGCUUGAAUACAUUAGCAUGGAAUAAUGAAAUAGGACGUUUGAUCCUAUUUUGUUGGUUUCUAGGAUCCACGUAAUGAUUAAUAGGGAUAGUUGGGGGCAUUAGUAUUCAAUUGUCAGAGGUGAAAUUCUUGGAUUUAUUGAAGACUAACUACUGCGAAAGCAUUUGCCAAGGAUGUUUUCAUUAAUCAAGAACAAAAGUUAGGAAUCGAAGACGAUCAGAUACCGUCGUAGUCUUAACCAUAAACUAUAGCCGACUAGGGAUCGGAUGAUGUUAAUUUUUAAUGACUUCAUUCGCGCCUUAA